AAUAAUUGCGCAAUUAACCGUAAUUAACUCAGAUGCCUGAGUGUGGAAUUUAAUGGUGGUGGCAUUGAAGUUAGAAAUCUCUUUCCAUCGAGCGUUCUUAAGGUCUGGCACGAACUCAGGCGAGCUCAUUGCUAGUGUGUUUGUAGUAUCUAUGUUGCUAGCUGGUUCAGUUUGGUGACAACGUGUUAGCGGCAGGUCAAUGAGCAUAAAUUUUAAAGAUGAUUAGAUGUACUUGAUGGACGGAUAGUCUUGGCUGUAAAGUCUUCUUUGAUACUUUGCGCUAUUGCAAAGGACUUGUACUGCACUCCCACAGUUCCACUAUGCGUUUCUAUUUGAGGAAGAUGGUUUAUUUAGAUAUUU